rnacentral:rRNA from 1 species
ACUCCUACGGGAGGCAGCAGUGAGGAAUAUUGGACAAUGGGCGAAAGCCUGAUCCAGCAAUGCCGCGUGAGUGAUGAAGGCCUUAGGGUUGUAAAGCUCUUUUACCCGGGAAGAUAAUGACUGUACCGGGAGAAUAAGCCCCGGCUAACUCUGUGCCAGCAGCCGCGGUAAU